GGACCACCUGUUUUCAGAAGGGCUUUUCAUUUCUAGGAGGUCAAUAAAAAAACAAAAAGAAAAGAAAAUGAAGGUUUUUGUCAGCCACCCAGUCUAGAAUCCAUUUGUUCCUGACUAAAGUGUUCAUCCCUCCUCCCUCAUCCAGGCAGCUCUGUGUAUCUGGUGAAAUUGCCUCUGGACCAUCAGAGUGGGCUUGAUUGGUUUGAAGAGGUAAGUUGAGUGGUUUGCUCUACAACACUAUCAGAGGCCUACAAGCAUGGACUUGCCUGAUGGUGGGCAGGAAUCUCUAAAACUGUGAGUUCAAAUAAACCUUAGAAAUAUGAGGUAUUUGUUACA
rnacentral:lncRNA from 1 species